AGGCAGCCGUCACCUCCGUGAGUUUGCACAUGUGAAAGGAAUAUAACAGCUGUAAAAUCAGGGCCCAUCGGUCACGGCACGUCCUCCAGCUCCUCGUCUCGCAUACGCCAACAAACAGUCCGCAAACCCCCUCGGCAGGAACCUGCUGUAAACCGAGGACUGAAAGGCACGUAACAAAGGGACGGGAGAAGAGCAGUCAGAAAGACAGCGGGCGGCUCGGGGGCCCCUCCCUGAGGCAGCGCUGGUUCCCAGGUACAGCGAGGAGCGAUGGGAGGAGAGUUCCCACCACACUCUCUAACCGUUCUCACCGUAGCUCAUUGGUCGGAUGUUGCGUCACCGCUGAAAUUCGAGACUCUCGCAGCGGUGCAGGGCAGGUGUAUGAGGCUGCAGCGCCAAAGGAGCUGAUUACCUGGAGAAGACCCACACAGACAUGAGGAGAACAUGGAAGCUCAACUCCAAAAGCACACUGGGUGGAAACAAACCCAAGACCUUCUGCUGUGAGGCCACAGCACGAACGACCACACCACCGUGCCGCCUCUUAGGGGAUAGUCUCAAACCAAUACGUCGCCUGAGGUGCUUGAUUUAAAGGACUUAAUUCAUGGAUACAUAGGUUGGGUUUUAGCUGAACCUUUGAGGCGAUAAAAGGC
ensembl:lncRNA